rnacentral:lncRNA from 1 species
UUUGCAUUUCCAAGACCAGAUCUGCCCCAGAUCCACAGAAGUGCCUGGCUUCCUGUGUUCACCUUCAUUUCAGAUCUGUCAGGAUUCUGGGCUCACAUUCUAGCACCUGCUGGAGCAGUCAGCUGCGAGAGCUGCCUGUGUCCUUGAAAAGCUCUCAGCAUCUCCAUUAAAGUGGAGAGAAAGGUGGUAGUGAAUGAUGAAGCCAUUAAUCCUGAGGUCAAAGGGCAAUGCAUCUUGCGCUGGACUCGUCAUCCAUCAUUCCUGAGCCAGGAUGAAACUGUGUCAUUGCAAAGGAUCGCAUGGAAGCCACAGGGAACGUAUGUGGAGCCCAUGAAUUGUUGAUCUUUUCAACAGUGUGCCCAA